rnacentral:rRNA from 1 species
UACGUAGGUGGCAAGCGUUAUCCGGAAUUAUUGGGCGUAAAGCGCUCGCAGGCGGUUUCUUAAGUCUGAUGUGAAAGCCCACGGCUCAACCGUGGAGGGGCAUUGGAAACUGGGAGACUUGAGUGCAGAAGAGGAGAGUGGAAUUCCACGUGUAGCGGUGAAAUGCGUAGAGAUGUGGAGGAACACCAGUGGCGAAGGCGACUCUCUGGUCUGUAACUGACGCUGAGGAGCGAAAGCGUGGGGAGCAAACAGG